rnacentral:rRNA from 1 species
UACGUAGGGGCCAAGCGUUGUCCGGAUUUAUUGGGCGUAAAGAGCUCGUAGGCGGUUCGGCAAGUCAGCUGUGAAAUCUCCACGCUCAACGUGGAGGGGUCAGCUGAUACUGCUGUGACUCGAGUCCGGUAGGGGAGUGUGGAAUUCCUGGUGUAGCGGUGAAAUGCGCAGAUAUCAGGAGGAACACCGGUGGCGAAGGCGGGUCUCUGGGCCGAUACUGACGCUGAGGAGCGAAAGCGUGGGGAGCGAACAGG